ACGAUGUCUACUUGGAGGUUGUGGCCUUGAGCCGUGGCUUUCGGAGCUAACGCGUUAAGUAGACCGCCUUGGGAGUACGGUCGCAAGAUUAAAACUCAAAUGAAUUGACGGGGGCCCGCACAAGCGGUGGAGCAUGUGGUUUAAUUCGAUGCAACGCGAAGAACCUUACCUACUCUUGACAUCCAGAGAACUUAGCAGAGAUGCUUUGGUGCCUUCGGGAACUCUGAGACAGGUGCUGCAUGGCUGUCGUCAGCUCGUGUUGUGAAAUGUUGGGUUAAGUCCCGCAACGAGCGCAACCCUUAUCCUUGUUUGCCAGCACGUAAUGGUGGGAACUCCAGGGAGACUGCCGGUGAUAAACCGGAGGAAGGUGGGGACGACGUCAAGUCAUCAUGGCCCUUACGAGUAGGGCUACACACGUGCUACAAUGGCGCAUACAGAGGGCGGCCAACCAGCGAUGGUGAGCGAAUCCCAAAAAGUGCGUCGUAGUCCGGAUUGGAGUCUGCAACUCGACUCCAUGAAGUCGGAAUCGCUAGUAAUCGUGAAUCAGAAUGUCACGGUGAAUACGUUCCCGGGCCUUGUACACACCGCCCGUCACACCAUGGGAGUGGGCUGCAAAAGAAGUGGGUAGUUUAACCUUCGG
rnacentral:rRNA from 1 species